CGUGCAGGCGGUUGAGUAAGUUACCUAUGAAAGCUUCCGGCUAAACUGGGAGAGGCUAGGUGAAACUGCUUGGCUAGAGUGAGAUAGAGGGAAGUAGAAUUCCGGGUGUAGUGGUGAAAUGCGUAGAUAUCCGGAGGAAUACCAGUGGCGAAGGCGGCUUCCUGGAUCUCAACUGACGCUGAGACGCGAAAGCGUGGGUAGCGAACG
rnacentral:rRNA from 1 species